CCAGUCCCAGAAAGAAGAAUGCAGACCAAAAUUCAAGUGACAUAUGAUGAAAUGAUACCAGGAAGCCCAAGGAAAAGAAUCGCUUCCCAGAAUCACUUGACACCACCAAACUUCAGCUCAGGCAAAGAAGUGUAUGUUGAUCACAGUGAAGAAAUCCCCCACGGAAGCUAUAGCCAGUUGACUCCUUUUUCCAAGUCCUCAAGUGAUCUGGUUAUGACAACUACUGCUUCAAGUCUAACUGAUACAACGUACUCCUUCAAUUAUCAAGAAGAAGAGUAUACAAAUACAGAACGAGAAACUGGCGGAGAGCGAUCCCCAUUUUCGAAUGCGGAGAACAUCACUCAUCGGGGAGGUCAAAAAGAGGUGAAUCCAGAGAGCCCAAAUGAACUGAAGCAGAAUAGGAAUUAUGAUGAUUGGAUGGGAGGGGGUCCAACAGAUGAAAUGUUCCAAAAUUCCGUUUGCUCAAUUUGCAAUAACAGGAGACCGAAGAUUGGAUGGAAGAAAGACUUCACUUAUGCAGAGCUCCAUGCUGCUACUGAGGGAUUUUGCUACAAGAAUUUCCUAUCUGAAGGUGGUUUUGGUUCUGUCUACAGAGGAGAGCUUGGUGGGCUGAAGAUAGCUGUAAAGCAACACAAAAGUGCUAGCUUCCAAGGAGAGAAGGAAUUCAAGUCUGAAGUUAAUGUACUAAGCAAAGCAAGAAAUGUAAAUUUGGUGAUGCUUUUAGGUUCAUGUUCUGAAGGAAGUCACAGGCUGCUUGUUUAUGAAUAUGUCUGCAACGGUUCAUUGGAUCAGCAUCUAUCAAAACAUAGCCGCAGACCACUCAGUUGGGAAAAGAGGAUGAAAAUAGCUUUGGGAGCUGCAAAAGGCUUAAAAUAUCUGCAUGAUAACAACAUCAUCCACAGAGAUAUGAGGCCAAACAACAUCCUCAUAACCCAUGAUCAUGAAGCACUGCUUGGAGAUUUUGGUCUUGCAAGAACUCAACAUGACGAUUCAGAUCACUCAUGGGAGACCAGAGUCGUAGGA
rnacentral:misc_RNA from 1 species